GUGAUGAAAGUCCUCUGUGCCGGAGAGAACUCGUUGAGUGUUCCGCCUGGGGAGUACGGCCGCAAGGCUGAAACUCAAAGGAAUUGACGGGGGCCCGCACAAGCGGUGGAGCAUGUGGUUUAAUUCGACGCGACGCGAAGAACCUUACCGGGGUUUGAACUGCACCUGAACGAUCUAGAGAUGGAGAGGUUCCUUUCGGGGACAGGUGUAGAGGUGCUGCAUGGCUGUCGUCAGCUCGUGUCGUGAGAUGUUGGGUUAAGUCCCGCAACGAGCGCAACCCUUGUCUGUAGUUGCCAUCAGGUGAAGCUGGGCACUCUACGGAGACUGUCGGCGAGAAGCCGGAGGAAGGUGGGGAUGACGUCAAGUCCUCAUGGCCUUUAUGUCCCGGGCUACACACGUGCUACAAUGGGCGGUACAGAGGGCAGCGAACCUGUGAAGGCAAGCGAAUCCCAGAAAACCGCUCUCAGUUCGGAUUGCAGUCUGCAACUCGACUGCAUGAAGUUGGAAUCGCUAGUAAUCGCGGAUCAGAACGCCGCGGUGAAUACGUUCCCGGGCCUUGUACACACCGCCCGUCACAUCACGAAAGUGGGCUGUACUAGAAGCCGCCGGCCUAACCCUCG
rnacentral:rRNA from 1 species